rnacentral:rRNA from 1 species
GACCACGACACCGCAUGGUGGACGGGGUCAAAGAUUUAUCGGUAUGGGAUGGGCCCGCGUCUGAUUAGCUAGUUGGUGAGGUAACGGCUCACCAAGGCGACGAUCAGUAACCGGCCUGAGAGGGCGAACGGUCACACUGGAACUGAGACACGGUCCAGACUCCUACGGGAGGCAGCAGUGGGGAAUAUUGCACAAUGGGCGCAAGCCUGAUGCAGCAACGCCGCGUGAGUGAAGAAGGCCUUCGGGUCGUAAAGCUCUGUCCUGUGGGACGAAACAAAUGACGGUACCACAGGAGGAAGCCCCGGCUAACUACGUG